rnacentral:rRNA from 1 species
UACGGAGGAUGCGAGCGUUAUCCGGAUUUAUUGGGUUUAAAGGGUGCGUAGGCGGGAAAAUAAGUCAGUGGUGAAAUCCUACAGCUUAACUGUAGAAUUGCCGUUGAUACUGUUUUUCUUGAGUAUGGUCAAGGAAGGCGGAAUGUGUAAUGUAGCGGUGAAAUGCUUAGAUAUUACACAGAACACCAAUUGCGAAGGCAGCUUUCUGGCCCAUUACUGACGCUGAGGCACGAAAGCGUGGGGAGCAAACAGGAUUAGAUACCCUGGUA